UAGAAGUUGAUGUAUGUGCCCUUAACAAAUUAAAGGUUGUAUGAACUUCAAUUGUCAAGGAAAAUAUCCAUUGAAAGAUUGCAUAAAGAUCUUGCAGAGAUUCUCAAAAACUUCAGAAGUAUUGAUGACGAGGUGGGUAUAUUGUAGUUUGAGUAAUACUUUUUCUUAGUCUUGCCAAUACACAACUUCUAUAAUUUACUUGUUUAGAUUAUUAGAUUUUAUUCUUCUAACAUGUCUCCUGUCAGUGCCUUUUAUUCUCUUUUGGUUAAUUGAGUUUGUUGUUUUUCUUGGUCUAGCUUUGUGUUGUUUUUUCAGAACAAUUGAACAAUGGUGGUUGUUUCAGGAAAGCAACCCUUGCAUCCACAGAGAUUUUUGGGUUCAAUCCUGAUGAAUACAUUCUUCAAAAGUUUUGGAAACUUUGCUAAUGCAACAACAUAUUCCAGGUAGUUUUUGCUCUCCUAUUCAUUGUUUUCUUUCAAUGCGUGUCAGUUGUAGCUCAAAUGUUACUAUUGUACAGAGGAAUAUUGUAUGGCUCUAAUAGAAUUAUAUUUAAACUAUAGAAAAACCUGCAUCUAGAUAAUUAAUUUUUGGUAUCAUGCUUCAUAUUAUAACACAUUUAUUUAUCGAAGAAACUUGAAUUAGAAUUGAGAUGCCAUGUAGUCUUGAUCUAUACUUUCUUAUUAGAUUUCUAUUAAAUAUCUAUGGCUAAGUUUAAGUGUUAACAGAGAAAGGGCCAAAACUACCCUUCACCUAUGCAAAUUGGUAAUCAUUGUUGUUGGGAAGUUGGUUGCUACUGAUCCAGUUCCUAAGGUUAGGUGUAUCAUGUUUUCAACUAAGAGAAUAUAGGAACUUCUAAGAAAAAAUUAGGAGAAUUUUAAAUAUACUUCUUUUUGUGUAUUUGUUCAAUAAGGCAUGGGAUCGUCCAUUUUCAAAGAUUGUGGAUCUCGCAUUCGUAUUUCCACAUUGGUCUCAACCAUGCUCCAUUACAAAUCUUCCAACACUAUUAGAGUAUUGGUGCCAAGAUAUCGAUCUUUUACUUGCUAAUAAUUAAUGAAUCUAGUUUUUUUAAGAUCUAAAAAUAUAUCAAUAUUCUGGAAUGGUCAAAUCUUCUAGCUUGCCUUCUCCAUUUGAUGUCCCUUUUCAACCAAUGACUUCCCAAGUAUAUGGGAAGGGAAAUCGUGUAGCAUUUUGAUCGCUUUUGGAGCCACACUACAAUUAAAGGCCCAUUGUGAUUAUUCUGUAAGAAUUACUCAUUCCUCUUUGAAAAGUCACGUUACCUUAUCAGUUCCUAAAAAAAGUCAUUACAGAUAAUCUUGUUCUUUGAAGGUGAAUUGCUUCCUUCCUAUUCAAGGAAUGAAACCAUUAGAAGCUUUGUUGUGCUUGCUUGCUUCAAUUCCUCUUUCAUAGAUUCUAAUUAUAUUUUACUUUGUUGUUGAGUCUUUUUUGUUAUAUCUAUUGAGAUGGUUUACACAAGCUUAUUAUUAUAGGACGUUCAUUCAUUCAUUUGCAGAUAUUUUUGAAAGCCUUGGAGCAACUUUAAAUGUUGCUAAACCAACAAAAGGUUCAAGUGUGGCCAAAUUUUUGAUUGGGGUUGUAGGUAAGCUAUGAGUAUUCUUCACAUGGCAAAUAACUUUCUUUUUCUGUUUCUUUAUUCCAUAUAUCUGUUUAUCUUCCUAAUGAUCUUAUCUCAUUUGGUAAGGCUACAGAAUGAACAAGAAUUGUUGGUGCUUCAAGAAUAAUUGGUGUUGAUUAAAGUGCUAGCAUAUUUGAGCUAGGUAAUUAAUUUGUGCCUUACACAUUCUUGAUCCAUUAUUUCAUAAUUCCUUCCUUGUACUGGAAAGUUAAAGUGGGGGUCGUGUAUUAUGGUCCACGGUAAAGCAAUUGCAGCAAUUUGUUUCCGUUAGUGUGUGUGUCAGAUGUUAUACACACUCUCUCUUUUCUUUCUAAAACGACAAGGCAGUGCUUGCAAAUUCCCAACCUUGUUAUUAAGAGAAUCUGUAAAGGAGAUUUGCCUUUAGUUUUCUGAUGAUGAUGAUAGAUAUUAGUAAAAUUUAACUGUUUCUACAAGCAAAAUGGGCAUCUAUGCUCCCUGGUUUUUUCACUUUGUUUUAUUAAAGUGAUCUUACCUUUAUUUUUUUACUUCCAUGUUAUUAAGAGGCAGAUAAUUAUUUUGAUGGGGAAGGGGAUGAUAUCCAUUUGGGGAGAGGUAUAGUCAAAAUUUGGGACUUUGUGACAGCCUAAGGUGUGGGUCUCAUGUAAAGACUUCUGUAUGGGUCUCAAUACAACUAAUUAACCAGUUAGUUGUUGUACAAUUG